ensembl:lncRNA
CGGCAGUGGAAGAGUUAAAACACACUAAGCAAAUAGUGCAGGAAAAGGAGUGUAUAAAUGUAUAAGGAGAAGGCAGAGUGGAUUACACAGCAUUUAACCUCCAGCCAUACAGCUGUCAGUUCCUCAGAACAGUAAGAGCCUGCACUAAUAUGAGGAAGGCCGUGUUCCAAUGGAUGUAGAUGGACCUUGUGGACCAUGAGUGGUUGCAGUGUUCAGCACCGUGGAAUGGAGGGGAUCCCUCCUUGCUCUCUAAAAUGGUGAUAUUCUGGAGCCCUGUCUCUGUGAAAAUCCACAAUAAAC